CACGUAGGGGGCGAGCGUUGUCCGGAUUUAUUGGGCGUAAAGGGCUCGUAGGUGGCUCAGUAAGUCGGGUGUGAAACCUCCAGGCUCAACCUGGAGACGCCACCUGAUACUGCUGUGGCUAGAGUCCGGUAGGGGAGCAUGGAAUUCCUGGUGUAGCGGUGAAAUGCGCAGAUAUCAGGAGGAACACCAGUGGCGAAGGCGGUGCUCUGGGCCGGAACUGACGCUGAUGAGCGAAAGCGUGGGGAGCAAACAGG
rnacentral:rRNA from 1 species